rnacentral:tRNA from 1 species
GCCUCCGUCGCCUAAUGGAUAAGGCAUCGGUUUUCUAAACCGGGAUUGUGGGUUCGAGUCCCACCGGAGGUA